rnacentral:rRNA from 1 species
UGCGGUGGGUACGGGCAGACUAGAGUGAUGUAGGGGAGACUGGAAUUCCUGGUGUAGCGGUGAAAUGCGCAGAUAUCAGGAGGAACACCGAUGGCGAAGGCAGGUCUCUGGGCAUUUACUGACGCUGAGGAGCGAAAGCAUGGGGAGCGAACAGGAUUAGAUACCCUGGUAGUCCAUGCCGUAAACGUUGGGCACUAGGUGUGGGGGACAUUCCACGUUUUCCGCGCCGUAGCUAACGCAUUAAGUGCCCCGCCUGGGGAGUACGGCCGCAAGGCUAAAACUCAAAGGAAUUGACGGGGGCCCGCACAAGCGGCGGAGCAUGCGGA